AGUGAACACUGGCGGUAGGCCUAACACAUGCAAGUCGAACGGCAGCACAGUAAGAGCUUGCUCUUACGGGUGGCGAGUGGCGGACGGGUGAGGAAUACAUCGGAAUCUACUUUUUCGUGGGGGAUAACGUAGGGAAACUUACGCUAAUACCGCAUACGACCUACGGGUGAAAGCAGGGGAUCUUCGGACCUUGCGCGAUUGAAUGAGCCGAUGUCGGAUUAGCUAGUUGGCGGGGUAAAGGCCCACCAAGGCGACGAUCCGUGGCUGGUCUGAGAGGAUGAUCAGCCACACUGGAACUGAGACACGGUCCAGACUCCUACGGGAGGCAGCAGUGGGGAAUAUUGGACAAUGGGCGCAAGCCUGAUCCAGCCAUACCGCGUGGGUGAAGAAGGCCUUCGGGUUGUAAAGCCCUUUUGUUGGGAAAGAAAAGCAGCAGGUUAAUACCCCGCUGUUCUGACGGUACCCAAAGAAUAAGCACCGGCUAACUUCGUG
rnacentral:rRNA from 1 species